rnacentral:rRNA from 1 species
CGAAUGGGGCAAGCGUUGUUCGGAAUCACUGGGCUUAAAGCGUGCGCAGGCGGUUCUGCAAGUCAGAAGUGAAAGCCCGGGGCCUAACCCCGGAAUUGCUUUUGAAACUGCAGAACUAGAAUAUGGGAGAGGUUAGCAGAAUUCCGAGUGUAGAGGUGAAAUUCGCAGAUAUUCGGAGGAAUACCAGUGGCGAAGGCGGCUAACUGGACCAUUAUUGACGCUCAGGCACGAAAGCGUGGGGAGCAAACAGGAUUAGAUACCCUGGUAGUCCACGCCGUAAACGAUGUGUGCUCGUUGUCGGGAUCUUUAGGUCCCGGUGACAACGCGAAAGCAUUAAGCACACCGCCUGGGGAGUACGGUCGCAAGAUUA